rnacentral:lncRNA from 1 species
GCAGUUACAGUGUAUGAAUAACAUAAAUAUGAGCGAAAAUAGGAAAUAAUAAUAAGGUUUGUUAAGGUUUAAGAAAAGGUUUAUGGUUUAGAGGAAAUAACACGGUUAAAGUUUUAGGUUUGAAAUUUAGAGUUUGUGGCGAAAUUGUCAGGGUUUAGGAAAAAUCAGGGUAGUUAGUUAUGGAAAAAAAUGUGCAGAUCUAAAUAUAUGUAUAUAAAAAAAAUAUGAAUUAAAAAAAAACAACGGCGUUGCUAGCGCAAAAUUGCGAUCAUCGCAACUGGAUCGGAUAACAC